rnacentral:lncRNA from 1 species
AAGUUAGUGAUGGACUUCAACCACGCGACAUCCUGCAAACACCGAGAUUAUACCAAGUGAAAAUACUCGUUAUGUCGAUUUCGCUAACUGUAUAAACCGAUUUCGCACCUUCCAAUUCAGUGUAGGAUCGAAUGUAGAGUUUGCAUAAGCUUCCAAGUUUGAACCACUACCCUGCAGAUUGGAAAUAUUCAUCAUUCUAUAAACCAAGCAGAAACUCGUAGAAAAAAUUGGGUCGCUUAGUUCCCUAUCCUGUACUUACAGCAUCCACAUCAUUCGAUACAAAGUCUUCGACAUUCUUCAGCU